GACGAACGCUGGCGGCGUGCUUAACACAUGCAAGUCGAACGGAAAGGCCCUGCUUUUGUGGGGUGCUCGAGUGGCGAACGGGUGCGUAACACGUGAGUAACCUGCCCUUGACUUUGGGAUAACUUCAGGAAACUGGGGCUAAUACCGGAUAGGAGCUCCUGCUGCAUGGUGGGGGUUGGAAAGUUUCGGCGGGUGGGGAUGGACUCGCGGCUUAUCGGCUUGUUGGUGGGGUAGUGGCUUACCAAGGCUUUGACGGGUAGCCGGCCUGGGGGGGUGACCGGCCACAGGGGGACUGAGAUACGGCCCAGACUCCUACGGUAGGCAGCAGUGGGGAAUAUUGCACAAUGGGCGGAAGCCGGAUGCAGAAACGCCGCGGGCGGGAUGACGGCCUUCGGGUUGUAAACCGCUGUCGCCUGUGACGAAGCGGGAGUGACGGUAAUGGGUAAAGAAGCACCGGCUAACUACGUG
rnacentral:rRNA from 1 species